AUUGAACGCUGGCGGCAGGCUUAACACAUGCAAGUCGAGCGGAGCGAGGGUGCUUGCACCUUAGCUUAGCGGCGGACGGGUGAGUAAUGCUUAGGAAUCUGCCUAUUAGUGGGGGACAACAUUCCGAAAGGAAUGCUAAUACCGCAUACGCCCUACGGGGGAAAGCAGGGGAUCUUCGGACCUUGCGCUAUAGAUGAGCCUAAGUCGGAUUAGCUAGUUGGUGGGGUAAAGGCCUACCAAGGCGACGAUCUGUAGCGGGUCUGAGAGGAUGAUCCGCCACACUGGGACAGAGACACGGCCCAGACUCCUACGGGAGGCAGCAGUGGGGAAUAUUGGACAAUGGGCGGAAGCCUGAUCCAGCCAUGCCGCGUGUGUGAAGAAGGCCUUUUGGUUGUAAAGCACUUUAAGCGAGGAGGAGGCUCUUAAGGUUAAUACCCUUGAUGAGUGGACGUUACUCGCAGAAUAAGCACCGGCUAACUCUGUGCCAGCCGCCGCCGUAAGAC
rnacentral:rRNA from 1 species